rnacentral:rRNA from 1 species
ACUCCUACGGGAGGCAGCAGUGGGGAAUAUUGCACAAUGGGGGAAACCCUGAUGCAGCCAUGCCGCGUGUGUGAAGAAGGCCUUCGGUUGUAAGCACUUUCAGUAGGGAGGAAGGUAGUGUAGUUAACACCUGCAUUAUUUGACGUUACCUACAGAAGAAGCACCGGCUAACUCCGUGCCAGACAGCCGCGGUAAUACGGAGGGUGCGAGCGUUAAUCGGAAUUACUGGGCGUAAAGCGCAUGCAGGCGGCCUGUUAAGUCAGAUGUGAAAGCCCGGGGCUUAACCUCGGAAUUGCAUUUGAAACUGGCAGGCUAGAGUCUUGUAGAGGGGGGUAGAAUUUCAGGUGUAGCGUGAAAUGCGUAGAGAUCUGAAGGAAUACCAGUGGCGAAGGCGG